GUAGACGAACUCAUCCACCAUAUCCCACAGCCAUUGGUUGGGAAGCUGCAUGUUGACUACUCCGUGGAGCACGACCGAGAAGAGGCUGCAGUAGUUGUCCCACGACUCCACCCGCUGCCGCCCCGUGGGGGAGAGCCGGGCGUAGAGGUGACGGAACCACAUCUCACGGUAGAGGAGGCAGAAGACGUGGUCGUUGUCGACGUAGGGGGCGAUGGCCUCGACGGAGGGCCAGGGGCUCUCCCGGAACAUCCGGUCGCUGAGCCGCUGGAAGCUGCCGUCGUACAUCUGGUGGAUCUCGUACACGUUCUUCUCCCGGAUGUGGC
rnacentral:lncRNA from 1 species